UACGAAGGGGGCUAGCGUUGCUCGGAAUCACUGGGCGUAAAGGGUGCGUAGGCGGGUUUUUAAGUCAGAGGUGAAAUCCUGGAGCUCAACUCCAGAACUGCCUUUGAUACUGGAAGUCUUGAGUAUGGGAGAGGUGAGUGGAACUGCGAGUGUAGAGGUGAAAUUCGUAGAUAUUCGCAAAGAACACCAGUGGCGAAGGCGGCUCACUGGCCCAUUACUGACGCUGAGGCACGAAAAGCGUGGGGAGCAAACAGGG
rnacentral:rRNA from 1 species